AGUGGAGUAGACAAUGAGGUCCCAACACUACAUAACCAGGACAUUGAAAAGAUGAAGGAUGACUUGAGAUUUGAUUUUCAAAUCAACAGACCUCUAGUCCAACAAACUCAGACAGCACCGGUCCCCUAACCAUCAGAUUUUCCUGCAGGUUUGCUGUUGACUUUUACUAUGUAUGUGCCUCCUACCACCUCUACUGGUUCAGCUGCUAUACUAAUGGGUCGGACCCUAGACACUGCAUAAAUCCC
rnacentral:lncRNA from 1 species